rnacentral:tRNA from 1 species
GGGGAUUUAGCUCAAUGGUAGAGCACUUGCCUAGCAAGUGCAAGGCCCUGGGUUCAGACCCCAGCUCCG